rnacentral:rRNA from 1 species
GAUGAACGCUGGCGGCGUGCCUAAUACAUGCAAGUCGAGCGAACAGACGAGGAGCUUGCUCCUCUGACGUUAGCGGCGGACGGGUGAGUAACACGUGGAUAACCUACCUAUAAGACUGGGAUAACUUCGGGAAACCGGAGCUAAUACCGGAUAACAUGUUGAACCGCAUGGUUCAACAGUGAAAGACGGUCUUGCUGUCACUUAUAGAUGGAUCCGCGCCGCAUUAGCUAGUUGGUAAGGUAACGGCUUACCAAGGCAACGAUGCGUAGCCGACCUGAGAGGGUGACGGCCCAACGUGGAAAGGAAACAGGGCCCCACCCCCAAGGGGGGGGCGCGGUGGGGAAUCUUCCGAAAUGGGCAAAAUCCUACGGGGGCAACGCCGGGGGAGGGAAAAGGGUUUUUGGAUCGAAAAAUCUUUUUUUGGGGAAAAAAAAAAUGUGUAAGUAAAUAUGCCCUUCUUGGCGGUACCAAAUAAAAAAGCCCCGGCAAACUGCGU